rnacentral:rRNA from 1 species
GAUUAUGGCUCAGGAUGAACGCUAGCGGCAGGCCUAAUACAUGCAAGUCGAACGGGAUAGGCUCCUUCGGGGGCCUUGAGAGUGGCGCACGGGUGCGCAACGCGUAUGCAACAACCCCCGACGGGCGGAUAGCCGGUGGAAACGCCGGAUAAUACGCCAUGGUUCCGGUGGAGGGCAUCCUCUACUGGAUAAAGCUACGGCGGUCGGGGACGGGCAUGCGUCCCAUUAGAUGGUAGGCGGGGUGACGGCCCACCUAGUCCGCGAUGGGUAGGGGAUCUGAGAGGACGGUCCCCCACACUGGUACUGAGACACGGACCAGACUCCUGCGGGAGGCAGCAGUAAGGGAUAUUGGUCAAUGGGCGGAAGCCUGAACCAGCCAUGCCGCGUGAGGGAAUGAGGCCCUACGGGUCGUGAACCUCUUUUAUUCGGGGACAAGGGCGCGGUCGUGAGCCGUGUUUGAGGGUACCGAAGGAAUAAGCGUCGGCUAACUCCGUGCCAGCCGCAGC